GCUAGGGGAGCAAACAGGAUUAGAUACCCUGGUAGUCCUAGCCGUAAACGUUGGGUGCUAGGUGUGGGCGGAUAUCANCNNNGUCCGUGCCGAAGCUAACGCAUUAAGCACCCCGCCUGGGGAGUACGGCCGCAAGGCUAAAACUCAAAGGAAUUGACGGGGCCCCGCACAAGCGGCGGAGCAUGUUGCUUAAUUCGAUGCGACGCGAAGAACCUUACCUGGGCUUGACAUGCAGGGUGAAACCCGUGAAAGCGGGCGCUCUUCGGAGCCUGCACAGGUGGUGCAUGGCUGUCGUCAGCUCGUGCCGUGAGGUGUUGCCUUAAGUGGCGCAACGAGCGCAACCCCUGUCCUUAGUUGUCAGCGAGUCAUGUCGGGAACUCUAGGGAGACUGCCGGUGCCAAACCGGAGGAAGGUGGGGAUGACGUCAAGUCAUCAUGCCCCUUACGUCCAGGGCUGCAAACAUGCUACAAUGCUCGGUACAAAGGGCUGCGAUCCUGCAAGGGGGAGCGAAUCCCAGAAAGCCGGGCUCAGUUCGGAUCGGGGUCUGCAACUCGACCCCGUGAAGUUGGAGUCGCUAGUAAUCGCAGGUCAGCACUGCUGCGGUGAAUACGUUCCCGGGGCUUGUACACACCGCCCGUCACACCACGAAAGUGGGCAACACCCGAAGCCGGUGGCCU
rnacentral:rRNA from 1 species